rnacentral:lncRNA from 1 species
AAGGCGCCCAAACACACGGCCCAAAGCCUCUAUGUGUGUUCAGACGGGCCCCAAAGACCUCUAUCUCAUCUCAUUUGUAUCACUGUAUCUGGAGGGGAAGGGUACUGUCUAAUGAUUUCAAAAACAAUCAUUAUACUCAUAUUCACAUGCCUUUUAACCAUACUUUAAAUCAUACCACAUUUGAAUCCACUUUUCUUGUCUUUAAAAUA